rnacentral:rRNA from 1 species
UACACUCCUACGGGAGGCAGCAGUGGGGAAUUUUGGACAAUGGGCGAAAGCCUGAUCCAGCAAUGCCGCGUGAGUGAAGAAGGCCUUCGGGUUGUAAAGCUCUUUUGUCAGGGAAGAAACGGUGAGAGCUAAUAUCUUUUGCUAAUGACGGUACCUGAAGAAUAAGCACCGGCUAACUACGUGCCAGCAGCCGCGGUAAUACGUAGGGUGCAAGCGUUAAUCGGAAUUACUGGGCGUAAAGCGUGCGCAGGCGGUUUUGUAAGUCUGAUGUGAAAUCCCCGGGCUCAACCUGGGAAUUGCAUUGGAGACUGCAAGGCUAGAAUCUGGCAGAGGGGGGUAGAAUUCCACGUGUAGCAGUGAAAUGCGUAGAUAUGUGGAGGAACACCGAUGGCGAAGGCAGCCCCCUGGGUCAAGAUUGACGCUCAUGCACGAAAGCGUGGGGAGCAAACAGGAUUAGAUACCCUGGUAGUCCCAUGA